AUUCCAGAAGUGGGUCUUGUGGCACCGGUGUUUUCUUGCCUCGUGGAACCGGCAACCCUUCAGAUUCACGCAAGAAACAGGGAUGCUCCACUGCCCUUAUACCAGCCAGAGUAGCCCAGGCCCUGAAACUCAACUUUGAUGAAAUGGGUGUUGUAUCACCAUCACUGGGUGGCCGUUUCUCUCUGCAACAUGAUGCGGCACCAGGGCGAAGGAACAGCCUGUAUCCACCGCAGAAGCAGCACUGGCCGGCGCCUCCUACAAUGAAGCACCAGGAGAUGGAUGUUCCUCGGGGAUGGACUCACUGACACUUGAUGAAGCCCCUCUAAUCUUAUGAUGAAAUGCUCAAGUCACAUAGAAAAAAGGGAAAGGAAAAAAAAUGAUAGACAAUGAUCAAAAGCAAAAUAUUGCUGAGAUUUUUCUUCUUUGGUUUUUCAGGAUUUCAGGGGUGAGAAUUUGGAAAAAGGAAAGGAAUAAAAGUUGUCUGGGAGGGAAAAGUAGAGAGUCUAUAAGGGUUAUCAUUAGGAAUGAUGAUGAUUUAGGUACGAUUAGUGGUUGGUGGGGGGCGGGGAUUGGCCUUUUGGAAAAGCGCUUGUAAUAAUGUUAGAGAUGUUAACAAAAGAGAGUUGCCCUGCUUACAUCUCUUUGUUUCCUCUCUUCUACCAGUACCAUUUUAGCUUUCAAU